UGAGAAGGAGCAAAAUUAUUUUCUGAACUGUAAUAAAAGAGCUUAAAAUUAGAGUGAAAUCUAUUACACAUUUUUAGCAGUAGUAACUAGCAAAUCUUUUUUGUAGAUCUUUUUGUACUGGACUGAUUAUUGGAACUUCACUGUUUUUGAGGGAUGAAGUUUAACCCAGAGAUUUCCAGAGAUUUGAAUUUUCCAAGAAGUAGAUGCCUGUCUGAAAGAAAUAAACGUAUUUCUGGAAGAAAUAGCAUAUAUAAUUUUGAACAUGAAUAUCACAAGGUGGAGCGUGGUAAACCAGAAAAACCUGUGAAACUUGGACCAACACUCCAAAUGAUAAAUAUCUGUUUCUAUCACUAGGAUCUUAUGUAACCUUUCCUUUGGUCCUAAUGCACUACAUCUGAGUGUUCAUGAUAAUGGAUAUAUUUCUAAAUGACAUCUAAAAGAAAU
ensembl:lncRNA